rnacentral:rRNA from 1 species
GACGAACGCUGGCGGCGUGCUUAACACAUGCAAGUCGAACGAAGUGGCGAACGGGUGAGUAAUACGUGGGUAACCUGCCCUCCUUUUUGGGAUAAGCCUUGGAAACGGGGUCCAAUACCGAAUAAAGGGGGAUGGGCUCGCGGCCUAUCAGCUUGUUGGUGGGGUGAUGGACUACCAAGGCGGUGACGGGUAGCCGACCUGAGAGGGUGAACGGGAACAUUGACACUGGGAUGCGGCCCAGAGUACGACGGAGGAGGGCAGUGGGGGAGAUGGGACAAAGGGCGAAAGACUGAUGCAGCGCGGGCGAGUAAGGGAUGAGGGUUUUAAAGUUGUAAGACUAUUUAGCUAUAGAGCGGGUAGGUAGAGAAGAAGCGCCGGCUAACUACGUGCCAGCAGCCGCGGUAAUAC